rnacentral:SRP_RNA from 1 species
UUGAUCUCGGAGCUACGCACGAUCCCUUCGUGGAUCUCGCUAUUAAAUCGCUCUGGGGAAAGUCCCCAGACGCUUGGCAGAGAGUGCCAGGGCGCAAGGCCCCUAUCCCCGGCCGUAGGCGCACGUGAAACGCGAGGACGCGGAACCACUGAAUACGUGGCCGCCCCGGCCAGAAUCGAACCCGCGUUUUUUGGGUGGCAGCCGAGCCGACCACCAUAACCAUCACACUACCGCGGUGGGCCUAAGGGCGAACAGUAAAGGUAAGUCCCGCAGGGGCCGAUAUGAAUUCGAAAGUAGACCGCUACCCUCGAGCUUAACGUAAAAAACCGUUGCGUGCUCGCCGCUCACGUGUGCAAAAGAGCCAUGCUGGCUGGUUUCCGCACACAGUGGAAGUAUUCUCAA